GUGUGUGUGUGUGUGUGUGAGUGUGUGUGUGUGUGUGUGUGUGUGUGCGUGCACACGCACAUG
rnacentral:miRNA from 1 species